rnacentral:rRNA from 1 species
UACGGGGGGGGCAAGCGUUGUUCGGAAUUACUGGGCGUAAAGGGCUCGUAGGCGGCCAACUAAGUCCGACGUGAAAUCCCCAGGCUUAACCUGGGAACUGCGUCGGAUACUGGAUGGCUUGAAUCCGGGAGAGGGAUGCGGAAUUCCAGGUGUAGCGGUGAAAUGCGUAGAUAUCUGGAGGAACACCGGUGGCGAAGGCGACAUCCUGGACCGGUAUUGACGCUGAGGCGCGAAAGCCAGGGGAGCAAACGGG